CACGAUAUAGCCAAGUUGGUAAGGCGAUGGUUUUUGAUAUCAUCACGCGUAGGUUCGAGUCCUACUAUCGGAA
rfam:Dictyostelium discoideum mitochondrial DNA, complete genome.